CAAAGAUACAGAGAAAACCGCCGAUUUUUAUGCUUAGAUUUGAUGAAGAGUGGAUAGCUGUGUAGAAAUCUGAUUGGACAAAGAGGGUAUGAUCUAAUAGUAGUAUACUGAGUGGGAAAACCCAGCAAGGCCUGUCUGUUUGGAUUUUUCUUGGCUUCUUUGUGUAACAUUCUUUCCUCCUGGGUAUGGAUCAGUAUCCUUUCUGGAAUGGGGCUCUCAUAACCUACUGUUCAACAAGCUACUCUUUAGAGGUAUGAUGGAUCUCCCCACAAAGUCUGGUUCAGGUGUCAAGACCUACACACCAAGAAACGAUGAGAAGAAUUAUCAUUCACAUGAGACUUUCUGGGGCAAGCAGAGUGGCUACCAAACAGGUCUUAAAAUGGCUUGAGAAAUCCAGCCAAUAUUGGUGAGUUGUAUUUUUGUGCCAUUUUUUUCAAAUUAAAUUUAUUCAUAUGAAGUUGUUCAUAAU
rnacentral:lncRNA from 1 species